UGCAGUCGAGCGGUAGAGAGAAGCUUGCUUCUCUUGAGAGCGGCGGACGGGUGAGUAAUACCUAGGAAUCUGCCUGAUAGUGGGGGAUAACGUUCGGAAACGGACGCUAAUACCGCAUACGUCCUACGGGAGAAAGCAGGGGACCUUCGGGCCUUGCGCUAUCAGAUGAGCCUAGGUCGGAUUAGCUAGUUGGUGAGGUAAUGGCUCACCAAGGCUACGAUCCGUAACUGGUCUGAGAGGAUGAUCAGUCACACUGGAACUGAGACACGGUCCAGACUCCUACGGGAGGCAGCAGUGGGGAAUAUUGGACAAUGGGCGAAAGCCUGAUCCAGCCAUGCCGCGUGUGUGAAGAAGGUCUUCGGAUUGUAAAGCACUUUAAGUUGGGAGGAAGGGCAUUAACCUAAUACGUUGGUGUCUUGACGUUACCGACAGAAUAAGCACCGGCUAACUCUGUGCCAGCAGCCGCGGUAAUACAGAGGGUGCAAGCGUUAAUCGGAAUUACUGGGCGUAAAGCGCGCGUAGGUGGUUUGUUAAGUUGAAUGUGAAAUCCCCGGGCUCAACCUGGGAACUGCAUCCAAAACUGGCAAGCUAGAGUAUGGUAGAGGGUAGUGGAAUUUCCUGUGUAGCGGUGAAAUGCGUAGAUAUAGGAAGGAACACCAGUGGCGAAGGCGACUACCUGGACUGAUACUGACACUGAGGUGCGAAAGCGUGGGGGAGCAAACAGGAUUAGAUACCCUGGUAGUCCACGCCGUAAACGAUGUCAACUAGCCGUUGGGAGUCUUGAACUCUUAGUGGCGCAGCUAACGCAUUAAGUUGACCGCCUGGGGAGUACGGCCGCAAGUUAAAACUCAAAUGAAUUGACGGGGCCCGCACAAGCGG
rnacentral:rRNA from 1 species